rnacentral:tRNA from 1 species
GGGGAUUUAGCUCAGUGGUAGAGUGCUUGCCUAGGAAGCGCAAGGCCCUGGGUUCAAUUCCCAGCUCCG